rnacentral:pre_miRNA from 1 species
UACUUACUCCCUCUGUCCGGAAAUACUUGUCGGAGAAAUGGAUGUAUCAAAAACUAAAAUAUGUCUACAUACAUCCAUUUCUCCGACAAGUAUUUUCGGACGGAGGGAGUACAUU